GUGCUCACUUCAGCAGCAUAUAAACUAAAAUCGGAAUAAUAUAGAGAGGAUUAGCAUGCCCUCUGUGCAGGGAUGACAGGCAAUUUCAUGAAGCAUUCUAUUUUUGU